AUUGAUCAAUAUCAAAGAAUUCCCAAAAAUCUCCUCAACAUCGGUCAGGUAAUAAUAUGCUCACAUAAGAUAAGCCUAAAGAAAGUAGAAAUGGAAACAAAUCUUAUUCCACAACUUCACUAUGCUCAACUACACAUAAAUUAUGAAGGUUCCAAAAUCCAAACUAAAUGUACGCACUUGAAUAACUUUUACUCUGGUGCAACAUAAAUCAGAGCCUCUCUAAUUAGCUCAGGUCAUAACAUGCUCAUGUAAACCUAAAGAAACUAGAAAUGGAAACAAAUCCUAUUCCACAACUUCACUAUGCUCAACUACACAUAAA
rnacentral:misc_RNA from 1 species